rnacentral:rRNA from 1 species
GAUGAACGCUGGCGGCGUGCCUAAUACAUGCAAGUCGAGCGAACGGACGAGAAGCUUGCUUCUCUGAUGUUAGCGGCGGACGGGUGAGUAACACGUGGAUAACCUACCUAUAAGACUGGGAUAACUUCGGGAAACCGUAUCUAAUACCGGAUAAUAUUUUGAACCGCAUGGUUCAAAAGUGAAAGACGGUCUUGCUGUCACUUAUAGAUGGAUCCGCGCUGCAUUAGCUAGUUGGUAAGGUAACGGCUUACCAAGGAAACGAUGCAUAGCCGACCUGAGAGGGUGAUCGGCCACACUGGAACUGAGACACGGUCCAGACUCCUACGGGAGGCAGCAGUAGGGAAUCUUCCGCAAUGGGCGAAAGCCUGACGCAGCAACGCCGCGUGAGUGAUGAAGGUCUUCGGAUCGUAAAACUCUGUUAUUAGGGAAGAACAUAUGUGUAAGUAACUGUGCCCAUCUUGACGGUACCUAAUCAGAAAGCCACGGCUAACUACGUG